rnacentral:tRNA from 1 species
AGAAACUUANGUNAAAUACUAAACCAAGGGCCUUCAANGCCCGAAACAGAGGACACCCCCCCCCU